CUCGGGAGUAUCAUAUGCAUUCAAAAUAGAUGAAUGAAUACGCACUUCUUUUCUCACCUCGAUCAUGAUCAUUUAUGACCUUUAAUAAUUAACCCCGAAAUUUCAGAACGAAAAAGGUUUGUUAUUUAUUAUUUUAUCACGGUCAUUAAGAGUACAUAUUGUAUAAAAUUGAUAAAAUGAUUAUAAUUCUUCCAUAUAUCUUUCAGCUUUAGUUUAUGGAAAGUUAAUUUUGUACAAAAUUAAUUUAAGUUCGUCGUUUGAUUUUCGUUCAGCAGUAAUCGUAUUCGUACAUCCAUGUUCUUAUGAUGUUUGUGAACGGUUUGAGAAAGCAGACUGAUGAAAUCGUAUUUAGUCUAAAAUGCCUUCCAUCAAAGAAGCUUUGAAAAAAUCAAGUGGGCCAUACCUAAGUUAUUUGAAAGUCAAAAUAGUGCGGUAUACUGCAGCAGCCCAGAUGGCAUUUGGUGAUAGCAAUGAUUUUAUCUUGCCAAGGUUUAUUAUGACACCAAUUUCAGCAAAUCAAAAGUUGGAUGUUCUCUACCAUCAGGAGACAUUAUUUGGAAGACUGAGGACAAGACAGUUCACAUUCUCAAAACACAAAAGUCCUGGUAACAGUUGUUUGAGUGUGCGUGAAAUGCAAAGGCUCAUCGGGAAAGCAAAUGUUCAGGGGUUGCCAUUGUUUCCUCCAGAUGGCUCGUCAUUCACCAUAGAAAACAAAGGUGUGUGUCUCUGGCAUAAUCGUUCAGGUUGAAGCUCAGCACAUAAUGACAAGGUAUACAAUGUGGAUAUGACUAUUAUGCUCCAUGCUGUAGACAGAGAAAUGGGAGGGCAGGAGACGUACUGAUGUCGUGCAUAAAUGAUGUCUUUGCCAACACCCACAACUCAUUCACAUCACCUUUUACACCAACAACAAAUAUACAGAAAAUCUGAGCUAAAGAGACUCAAGAGAGCAUCAAGGUCAUCAACCUACUGCAGACUGGAGUUACAUUUGGCUUAUGUCCCAAGGCUGACUGUUUCCAUGGAACUGAUUUUGCUUCCUUACACUUCCUACAUUUUGAUCAACUGACAGCAGAUCAAUUGCAUCUUAAAUAAAACUGUUCUGACAUCUGACAGCAGCUUCGUAAAAAUAGAACUGAACGGCUUGGAAUGAAACCAACUUUAGUCAUAAACACACAUUUAAUGUGUGCUUGGACAUUUAGUAGUGAACAGUUUAGUUCUUAACAUUAUCAAAAUAAGCUUUUUAACAUUUUGAACUUUCAAUUCUCUGCCUAUCCUUCAUGAACAUUUUUAUGCCUUGAAAUAUCUUUAUAUGAACAAUCAAUUUAAAUAACAGCUUCUCACAACAUAAUAUUUUGUUAAGUUUUAGAAAACAUACUCAAAGACACUUCAGUAAUGAAAUUGCUUUCGAAAAAACAUUUCAUUAGUUUACAGUAUGAAAUAAAUAGGUAUUUCACCAGCAAAGAGAACCUCUUAACCUGAAAAUACAUGAAAUUCAACUUCAAUAACAUUAUUUCUAAAAACUGGAAAUAUUCACUAUUACUAUGUGUUUUGAAAUUUGUUUGUACAAAUCGCUGCAAGUAUAUCAACUUCUAAUGUUCUUUCAAUUGUAUCAAGUAUAUUUAAUUGUUAGCACAUAACUAAACCACAAAUGAUUAAGUUUUGAUCUCAUUUUAUGUUUCUCUUGUCUAAUACAAAUGUUACUCAAUAGAUUUUUAUGAUGGGUAUACUUUCUAGUUUUUCAUGUAAUAUGUGAUAAUUGUCAGCUGCAUCUUUUCAUUCAGGAAAAGCUGUAUCUAAAUUUCUUUGCAAGCCACCGACCCAUUCUUUGUCUCAAAUGUAAUGAUACAUGUAUGUUUUAUGUGGUUGCUGUCGGAACAGGUAUUAAUAUUUAUGAACCCGAUAGUCAGUACACUAGCUCAAGGUGAGCUAUUGUGAUCGCCCUGUGUCUGUCAUCAACAAUUUGAGUGUUAACACUCUAGAGGUCACAAUUUACGCAUAAUCUUAAUGAAACUUGGUUAAAAUGUUACCCUCAAUAAAAUCCUGAACGAGUUCGUUAUUGGGUCAUCUAGAGUUAAAAAUAAGUCACCAGGUCAAAUUAAAGGAAAAGCUUGUUAACACUCUAGAGGUCACAUUUAUAACUGUAUCUUCAGGAAAGUUGGUCAGAAUGUUUAUAUUAAUAAUCUUAAAGUCAGGUUAAAAUCUGGGUCAUGUGCGGUCAAAAUCUAGUUUACCAGGUCAAAUCAUAGGAAAAGCUUAUUAGCACUCUAGAGGUCACAUUAAUGACAUGAAACUUAGUCAGAAAGUAUAUAUUCAUUAGCUUUAGGCCAAGUUGGAAUCUGGGUCAUGUGUGGUCAAAAACAAGAUCACAAGGUCAAAUUUAAGGAAAAGCUUGUUAAGACUGUAGAGGUCACAUUUAUAAUUGUAUAUUCAUGAAAGUUGGUCAGAAUGUUUAUAUAAAUAAUCUCUUAGUCAAGUUUGAAUCAGGGUCAUGUUUGGUCAAAACUAGGUCAUUAGGUCAAAUAAUAGAAAAAGCUUAUUAGCACUCUUGAGGUCACGAUAUGACUGUCUGUUCAGUAAAGUCAUAAUGUUUAUAUUAAUUAGCUAUAGGCCAAGUUCAAAUCUGUGUCAUGUGUGGUCAAAAACUAGGUCACCAGGUCAAAUAAUAUGAAAAGCAAGUUAACACUCUAGAGGCCACAUUUAUGAGCAUAUGUUCAUGGAACUUGAUCAGAAUGUUAUUCUUGAUGAUCUCUAGGUAGAGAUUGAAAUUGGGUUAUCAGAGGUCAGAAACCAGGCCACUAGGGUCAAAUCAUAGAAAAACUUUGUAAACACUGUAGAGGUUACAUUCUCUCUUUGAUCACCAUGAAACUAUGUCAGAAUGUUUGUGUUUAUGAAGUCUAUGUCAAACUCGAAUUGGAUCAGUUGAUCGAUAUAGGA